rnacentral:rRNA from 1 species
UACAGAGGGUGCGAGCGUGAAUCGGAAUUACUGGGCGUAAAGCGUGCGUAGACGGCUAUCUAAGUCGGGUGUGAAAGCCCCGGGCUCAACCUGGGAAUUGCAUUCGAGACUGAAUAGCUAGGGUGCGGUAGAGGGAAGCGGAAUUUCCGGUGUAGCGGUGAAAUGCGUAGAUAUCGGAAGGAACAUCAGUGGCGAAAGCGGCUUCCUGGACCAGCACCGACGUUCAGGCACGAAAGCGUGGGGAGCAAACAGG